CACAUAAAAGUCAGCUAUAAUAAAUUAUUAUGGAAUGGAAAAACUGCGUCACCCAUAAACAAAUAUGGAAAGGUUACAUUUGAGUUUUGUAUAGUGUUUGUUUGUGGAAUAUUCAAUUUGUUACUAAAUACCCAUCGCCCAAACGAAGAAAUCCUCGAAACGUCUUCAUCACUUUGGGAACCAUAAACUUUGAAUUCUACAGCGAUGGAAUUUCAUUUCAGUUUGACACAACUUCCUGGGAUUAUUUUUCGAUUUGAUACAACUUUAUGGAAUUAUUUUUCAGUUUUAUUUUAGUUUGUCACAAUUUCCUGGAUUUUUCGAUGCAUUAAGAAAAACACUUGUGAAGAAGCGCGACGAAGAAUGGAGUACAAGUCAGCAGGAACUGCAAUUAGAACAUCGGCAUGCGCAACUAGAGGAAGAAUUGAAGUUACGUUUCUCGCGCAAUAUGAAGUGGCUUUAAGAAUUUUAAAACAAAUUUCAUUUUAAGAAACUGAGAUAAAUUAUUUAUAGAACUGGUUAAAAGUUCAGCUAACGUUGCGGCAGAAGGUGCUAUCCUUAAUGAAAUGUUAGAAAUUGUAGAGUUCAAAAUACUGGUGGCGCAAUUAUCUACUAUCUGUCCUUAAUUCUUUCCUAGCUCAGGCAAUUAAAACUUAAAUAAGUAAUGAAAUUAGAAGGCUUUUUAAGCUUAAAUGGGUUUUU